rnacentral:rRNA from 1 species
UGGGGAAUAUUGGACAAUGGAGGAAACUCUUAUCCAGCAACUCUGUGUGUGUGAAGAAGGUUUUAGGACUGUAAAACACUUUUAGUAGGGAAGAAAAAAAUGACGGUACCUACAGAAGCAGCAACGGCUAAAUACGUGCCAGCAGCCGCGGUAAUACGUAUGUUGCGAGAGUUAUCCGGAAUUAUUGGGCUUAAAGGGCAUCUAAGCGGUAAGACAAGUUGAAGGUGAAAAACUGUGGCUCAACCAUAGGCUUGCCUACAAAACUGUUGAACUAGAGUACUGGAAAGGUGGGUGGAACUACACGAGUAAAGGUGAAAUUCGUAGAUAUGUGUAGGAAUGCCGAUGAUGAAGAUAACUCACUGGACAGGAACUGACACUGAAGUGCGAAAGCUAGGGGAGCAAACAGG